rnacentral:misc_RNA from 1 species
ACUGAAACGAAACACACAGUAGACUGGAGUAGAAGGAGUAGGAAGAAUACAUAGUAACAUUGAGAAGGAGAAGUAGAGAAAGAAGAAAGGCAGAAUAUGAUUAGAGGGGAAGUGAAUGAGAAAUAGAAAGGAAACUAGAUAACCGGAGUGACAAGGAAGAGAUAGAAAGAUAGAUAGUGUAGGGAGGAGUGAGUAAGAAAGGGAAAGGAAGACAGAUAGAGGGAGUGACAAAGACUCGCAAGAAAGAUAGGUAGAGGGAGUAAAAUGGGUGAGAAGAGAUAUUGUUGGGUGGAAGUUUCGUCAAUGCUGUCCGUAUUCGUGGAUAUACUAACUGUGACUGUGUAAAAGAUACUGGUUUGUGACCAGUGUCCUGUAACGGAUUUCCACAUGUACUAAGUAACACCACUAUUGCUACUAGCAGUGGUUGUAGUAGUUGUGUUUGUAGUUCCAUAGAAGUUGUUGUUGAUGUCGGUGGUGCUUUAAACCUCAACCCCUGAUCGCGGUUUGUGAGUUUGUUGACGUUGUUUCAUCGUCACCAUUUACAUUUUAAUUACACUAUCACAAGUACAGCUAUCCGUAAUCACAUAUAACCACUACACUACUACACCGCAACAAAUACACACACACAUAUAUAUAUACAUACGUACACAUAAUUAUUGUAAAAUCCUCAUUGCCACCCCUACAAACACAUCAGUUCGUUACAACUACCCCACAUCAAAACACACCAUUCUAACUACUACCAUCGCCAAUAACAAGGCACCAGCAGCACUAUCUAUCUAUCUAUCUAUCUAUCUAUCUAUCUAUCUAUCUAUCUAUCUAUCUAUCUAUCUAUUAUCUAUCUAUCUAUCUAUCUAUCUAUCUAUCUAUCUAUUAUCUAUCUAUCUAUUUAUCUGUCUAUGUCAAUAACAUCGUUGCUACUACAACACUACCCUCUAGACAUCAACAUGGAUAUCAAGAAGUGCCUGUCUCCACCACCGUCACUAUAACUACCAUAAAUAACAGAGCAGGAGCAAUAACAAGACACUGUCAUCAGAACCAGCGACAACAACCACUACAACUACUACAACAGUCAUCACCAGCCACUAAAACGACGAUUGCUACCGCACAUACUUGCAGUAUUAGUUUCGUUUUUAUGUAUUCUGCUGUCGUGUGAAUGAAUGGCUCCCUGAGCCACAACUGGUGAUACAAUAAUGAUACGAGUUUCAAUUCCCAGUUUUCGUAAAGUUGAAGGUGAAAAUGACAGAAGCUACACGGUAUUUUAUGUCCAAGUAUGGAUGUCUGGAAGAUAUAAUUCGGUCGAAAGACGCUAUACUGAAUUUGAAGAUCUGCACAAACAGCUAAAGAAACUGAUUGCUACUCCAGAAUUCCCUCCAAAGAAGAUGUUAAAAUGGAACCACAAAGUGUUGGAACAAAGAAGGCAGCGUCUUCAACUUUACAUCCAGACUGUAUGUCAAACCACCAGCAGCAAUGGUUACAUUCCUCCGGCAUUGUUCAAUUUCUUAGAACUGGAGCCAUAUGAACCUGGCUUUGAGUCUGUGGACCAUAUGCUCCAGGAACCUGUCCUAUGUUCCCACAAACCAAUGGUCAAGUUUGAAGAAGAUGCCUUUCUGUACGAUACUAACAAAACGUUGCUUCCAGAUACCAUUAUCUCAGGUGUACAUCUUGGACUAUAUUCCACUGAACACGAUGCCACAGUUCGGUAGCUUACCAUCACAUGCAACAUGAACAGACUGCUUUUUUUUUUUUUUUUAAUAUUCUUUUUGAACUCUGCUAUUUUGUAUAAAAAUGCAAUUCAUUUCUCAACCAUUAUUAUUAUUAUUAUUAUUAUUAUCAAGGCAGCAAGCUGGCAGAAUUAUUAGCAC